GGAGGAAAGCAGGGGAUCGCAAGACCUUGUGCUUUUAGAGCGGCCGAUGCCUGAUUAGCUUGUUGGUGAGGUAAAAGCUUACCAAGGCUUCGAUCAGUAGCUGGUCUGAGAGGACGGCCAGCCACACUGGGACUGAGACACGGCCCAGACUCCUACGGGAGGCAGCAGUGGGGAAUUUUGGACAAUGGGGGCAACCCUGAUCCAGCCAUGCCGCGUGAGUGAAGAAGGCCUUCGGGUUGUAAAGCUCUUUCAGCCGGAACGAAACGGUUACGGUUAAUACCCGUAACUACUGACGGUACCGGAAGAAGAAGCACCGGCUAACUACGUGCCAGCAGCCGCGGUAAUACGUAGGGUGCGAGCGUUAAUCGGAAUUACUGGGCGUAAAGCGUGCGCAGGUGGUUUUGUAAGUCAGAUGUGAAAUCCCCGGGC
rnacentral:rRNA from 1 species